GCACUGUUUGUGGCGAGGCAAGGGAAGAAGGAGAGAAGAAAACUGCACGGGAUCUGUGGAGAUUCCCCUGCCUGUCUGAGCACCUUGGUGAAGGAACUGAUGGAUUUUUGGG
rnacentral:lncRNA from 1 species